ensembl:antisense Gm19667 predicted gene, 19667
GUUCACUUCUCUUUUCCAGAAACCUGGCUACACUUCCAAACAUCUCGACAGCAAGCAAGUCUAAAGGUAAUUCUCACACCAGGAGAAAACGGAGACGCUCAAGAGACCAGCCAAGCAGAGGUGAGAGAUGGCACAGGUUAGUUGGCGGGUUCGGAACAUGCAGAGGAAGUCACAGGAAUGGUAGCAAUGAUAGUCAUUUCAUUCGCUUUUAUAAACAUGCAUAUCAAAAGUGCUCAUCACAAUUCUAGCAACAAAAUCCAUUCAGAUUUGUCUUCAGUGCCAGCUGAGAUUCCUUACAGACACGGACCUGCAGCUACAGGCUCUUCACUACUCAAACUGAGAACUUUUGCCAACCGUCCAAGCCACCUGGUGAAAUAAUACUGAAACUAAAACAUCCCUGCUCCCGCUAAGACAUGGGUUUCUGAACUGAAAUUAUCAAUAUUUUCAGGACAAAAUAAUUUCCUAAGAUGUUUAAGUAACUAUUCUUUAAAACAACAAAUAAUAAUUAAUUCACAAUUCUAUUACUACUAGUGUCUAUACACUGUAACUACUAUAUAUGUAUAAAAAUUCUUCUGAUUUAGUACAAACAAAACCAAAACAGCAGGGGGCCGGGGGUGAUAUUCCAUCAGCAUGAUCAUGUUUCUGGAGCAGAAAGCAUAUGUACUUCCUAGUGUCAGUUAUUAGAAAGGCAUUACUGAGUCUUUCUAUGGUGCAAAGUAAACAGUAGUGAUAUGUCACAUUUCUAAUAAAGAAUGUUAGUGACACACUUCUGAGGAAAUCUUAGAUCACUAUUGUGCAAAGCCUUGACAUUAUUUUGUAGCAUAAUAUUUUCAUAUAACUUAGAAAUUUAAAGAGACAAAUUUGAGAAUUUCCUAGAACCACUGAAACAUCCUGCUUUCAAAUUCAUAAAACAAACAGCACGGAAGCCUUUCCUGAACCAUGUCAAGCAUGCCAAUACACAAUUUACUUAUCAAAACGGGUUAGACUUAAAAUAAUGUUCCAGUUAACAUAGAUUUUUAAUCAACUAACCGGAAGUAUAGUUCAGUAUUAGAAUGUAUGCUGAUACUUAACAUGCUUACGACUCUGGGUUAAGUCCCCAGCAUUAAAACAAAGGUAUUGAAAAUUGAUAACGCUGGCACUCAAUACACAGUAUAAGAAGAGCCUUAUUCAAAAUUUUCAAGUACUCUUUUGGCAAAUGGUGCAUAUAAAGGGUCUACGUUUGAGCACACUUUAUAUAAAGCUCUUCAAGGGCAUUCCAUUGGCCCCAAAGAGCUGAAACCCUCAAGAACUAAGACUUCAAAUGAUAAAGGCUAAGACAGAAGGAGUGUGAUACACACCAAGGUCUGUUCCUAGGUCCUCUCCAACGUAACCACAUCUCCUGUCUCAAGUCCGUUCUCAAGUGGAGGGAGAAAGCAAACCAGCCACGCCCUGCCCAGGAUGCUGGAUGGCGCUCACCAUCAUUACUCAGUGAGUCCUAGUGAGGCAGAAGCUUCUCUGGAAAUGAGACAAUCAGCCACAAGGCAUGUGGGGCCUCCAUGAAGGAAUGGAGACUGCCCAUUGGAGGAACUGUCUCUAGAAGCCUGCUAACCCUACUGCUGAACAGAGACACCAUUAAGAACAGAACAUAAAUCAGAUGCUGGCCCAAAAUAGGAAGCAUUUGAGGUACUUCCCUGAGGAAAGAGAGCAGCAGCCCCUUUGAUGCCCAUGAGGAGGCAUCAUCCUGAGUGGCAGGGGUGCUGACUAGACGGGCGGAGAAGGCAGCACUGGGCUGCUAGGAAUGAGACCCAAGUCAGGAAGAACUGAGAGAGCUUUAUGCUUUUGUUUUACAACAAUACAGCAUGGAGCGGGAAACUAUGUGUCUCAGAUAAUACCAAGCUUAUUAAAUUUCAGGUAGUCACAGUAAUUUCUACUCAGGUCCCAUCUUCCUUCCCUAAGAAAGUGUUUCCUCUGUUUAAAAGGGUUUCAAAUUGUCUUAAAGACAAUUGUCUUACAACUUGAAAUCUGCUGUGGAUGUAUGCUUACUCCAUCUGUUUCCAAGCAGGGUUACUUUUCACACUCACUCUAGGACCCCAGGUACAAAAGGAGAACUGCUGACCCUUCUUUAGGGACCGAGAAUAAGGGUGAUGGGCAAAACAAUCCAACUGGAAAGGAAGCAGCCUUUGAGGAGUAGACCUGAGGUUCUGGAGAAAUCUGUAUACAUGUGUGGUAUGAUACCCACCAUAGCCACCUGUUUAAUGGUUUCAGUCUCUAUUUCACUGACACAAGAAAUACACAGGAGUCAGUCGGAGGGACUAGGGCAUCCCGGUAUUUACUAGGUUGUACAUAAAGGACAGUAAGAUAUAGAGAAAUACAAUAAAUCUGGAUUAGAGGUUAAGUAGCCACAUAUUACAAUUUUUCUCUCUCAUUCAUUCCAGCUUAUCUGCUAAUUCUUGCCAAAAUGUUAAGGACUUUCUUCAAAUUAAAAAGAAAAAAAGGUAAAAAUCAGUAAAUACUGUUACUGCUAAAAUUCUACCCACCUUCCUUUCUACACACGCAGUCCACUACACAAGCCAAUGUCUUACUCCGUGGUAACCCUGUUUUCUAAAGCAUUCAGUCUCUUUAACCCUAGAGUUGUUAAUAUUGGCAAUUUCACUAUGGUGACGAAUAGAACGACUCUUUGUUCUCUUUAACAAACACUAAAUAUUCCUUACCCCGUUAUGAAAUACAGUAGACAAAAAACAAUCACUGACCCAUUAUAAAAUUUAGCUCAUCUCUUGUGAUAUCUUUAAAUAACAAAAAUUUCCACUUUUUACCCUUCAAUGAAAGUUCUUCCUAGUAUACUUUAAAAUUAAGUUUGAACAAUUUUCUUCAACAAUGCAAUAAGAAAUCAAUUAUAAACAUGCUCCUGCCAGAGGUCUUCCAUCUAAUACCAAAAUAGAUGUAGCAAGUGUAGUACUAAGAGGGAAGUUGCUGGCUAUAAAUACCUACAUUAAGAGUGUGUGUGUGUGUUCAAGGUCAUCUCUAACUAUGCAGAAAAAAAAAAUCAAGGCUAGCCUAGUUAAUAGAGAACUAAGACAAGGAGAAGAGGAAGGGGAAGGGGGAGGGAAGGGAGGGAGUAGAAGGGAAGGAAACCGAAGAAUAGAAGAGGAAGGCAGGAAGGAAAGAGAGACCAAAGUUAGGCACAAGGAUUAGAACAGAAGCAAAAGAAGUAACAAUGAGUGGGAUGGACUAAGAGCUGGCUUCUUGAAAAGAUAAAAUUGAGGCCCCUUUACUAGACUAACAGAAAACCUAAAAGUCAAAAAG